rnacentral:rRNA from 1 species
GCUGCCCUUCGAUAACGAACGAGACCUUAACCUGCUAAAUAGUUAGGCCAACGUUUGUUGGUCGUCAACUUCUUAGAGGGACUAUUGACUAUUAGUCAAUGGAAGUUUGAGGCAAUAACAGGUCUGUGAUGCCCUUAGAUGUUCUGGGCCGCACGCGCGCUACACUGAUCAAGUCAACGAGUUUACAACCUUGGCCGGAAGGUCUGGGUAAUCUUUUGAAACUUGAUCGUGCUGGGGAUAGUCCAUUGCAAUUAUUGGACUUCAACGAGGAAUUCCUAGUAAGCGUGAGUCAUCAGCUCGCGUUGAUUACGUCCCUGCCCUUUGUACACACCGCCCGUCGCUACUACCGAUGAAUG